rnacentral:rRNA from 1 species
UCUAAGCACAUGCCUUAAUACGGUGAAGCCGCGAAUAGCUCAUUACAACAGCCAUCGUUUACUAGAAUAUCGUUAACUUGGAUAACUGUGGCAAUUCUAGAGCUAAUACAUGCAUAAAAGCCCCGCCCGCAAGGAAAGGGCGCAUUUAUUAGAAUAAAAACCAAUCGGGUCUCGGCCCGUAGUUUGGUGAAUCUGAAUAACUUUGCCAAUCGCACAGUCCUAGUACUGGCGAUGUAUCUUUCAAGUGUCUGCCUUAUCAACUUUCGAUGGUAGGUUAUACGCCUACCAUGGUAGUAACGGGUAACGGAGAAUAAGGGUUCGACUCCGGAGAGGGAGCCUGAGAAACGGCUACCACAUCCAAGGAAGGCAGCAGGCGCGCAAAUUACCCACUUCCAGAACGGAGAGGUAGUGACGAAAAAUAACGAGACAGUCCUCUUCGAGGUCUGUCAUCGGAAUGGGUACAAUUUAAAUCCU